UGAGCAAUCUGCCCUUCUCAUCGGAAUAAGCGUUGGAAACGACGUCUAAUGCCGAAUACGACCUCCUUUCGCAUGAUCGGAGGUGGAAAGCUCCGGCGGAGAAGGAUGAGCUCGCGGCCUAUCAGCUAGUUGGUGUGGGUAACGGCCCACCAAGGCGACGACGGGUAGCCGGCCUGAGAGGGUGACCGGCCACACUGGGACUGAGACACGGCCCAGACCUCCGUACGGGAGGCAGCG
rnacentral:rRNA from 1 species